UUGAAUAAACUUGGUCAAGUUGUUGCUGGUCCCUCGGGGCAUGUGCACGCCUGCCACCAAUUUUAACCACCUGUGCACCUUUUGUAGGCUGGAAACAAUUCUCGAGAUACCUCGGUUUGAGGACUGCUGUGCGAAAGCCGGCUUUCCUUGUGUUUCUCAGUCUAUGUUUUAUUAUACCCCGCAUGUAUGUAUCAGAAUGUAUUGCUAGGCCUCAGUGCCUAUAAAUCAAAUA
rnacentral:misc_RNA from 1 species